rnacentral:rRNA from 1 species
AGAGUUUGAUCAUGGCUCAGAACGAACGCUGGCGGCAUGCCUAACACAUGCAAGUCGAACGGGAUCCGGACUUCGGUUCGGUGAGAGUGGCGGACGGGUGAGUAACGCGUGGGAACCUGCCCAGUGGUGGGGGAUAACUGCGGGAAACUGCAGCUAAUACCGCAUGAUCCCGAGAGGGGAAAGAUUUAUCGCCAUUGGAGGGGCCCGCGUUCGAUUAGGUAGUUGGUGAGGUAAUGGCUCACCAAGCCGACGAUCGAUAGCUGGUCUGAGAGGAUGAUCAGCCACACUGGGACUGAGAUACGGCCCAGACUCCUACGGGAGGCAGCAGUGGGGAAUAUUGGACAAUGGGGGCAACCCUGAUCCAGCAAUGCCGCGUGAGUGAUGAAGGCCUUCGGGUUGUAAAGCUCUUUUGGCGGGGACGAUGAUGACGGUACCCGCAGAAUAG